UCCGAGUUAACCCCGGCAGUCUCCCGCGAGUCCCCAACACCACUUGCUGGCAACACGGGAUAAGGGUUGCGCUCGUUGCGGGACUUAACCCAACAUCUCACGACACGAGCUGACGACAGCCAUGCACCACCUGCGCACCAACCACAAGGGGGGCCGUAUCUCUACGGCUUUCCGGUAUAUGUCAAACCCAGGUAAGGUUCUUCGCGUUGCAUCGAAUUAAAGAACAUGCUCCGCUGCUUGUGCGGGCCCCCGUCAAUUCUUUUGAGUUUUAGCCUUGCGGCCGUACUCCCCAGGCGGAACACUUAACGCGUUGGCUACGGCACAGGGGGAUUCGACUCCCCCCACACCUAGUGUUCAUCGUUUACGGCUAGGACUAC
rnacentral:misc_RNA from 1 species